GAGCAAUCCUGGUGGCGAGUGGCGAACGGGUGAGUAAUAUAUCGGAACGUGCCCAGUAAUGGGGGAUAGCCCGGCGAAAGCCGGAUUAAUACCGCAUACGACCUACGGGUGAAAGCGGGGGAUCGCAAGACCUCGCGUUAUUGGAGCGGCCGAUAUCAGAUUAGGUAGUUGGUGGGGUAAAGGCCUACCAAGCCUGCGAUCUGUAGUUGGUCUGAGAGGACGACCAGCCACACUGGGACUGAGACACGGCCCAGACUCCUACGGGAGGCAGCAGUGGGGAAUUUUGGACAAUGGGCGCAAGCCUGAUCCAGCAAUGCCGCGUGCAGGAAGAAGGCCUUCGGGUUGUAAACUGCUUUUGUCAGGGAAGAAAUCCUCUGGGUUAAUACCUCGGGGGGAUGACGGUACCUGAAGAAUAAGCACCGGCUAACUACGUGCCAGCAGCCGCGGUAAUACGUAGGGUGCGAGCGUUAAUCGGAAUUACUGGGCGUAAAGCGUGCGCAGGCGGUUGUGCAAGACAGGUGUGAAAUCCCCGGGCUUAACCUGGGAACUGCACUUGUGACUGCACGGCUAGAGUACGGUAGAGGGGGAUGGAAUUCCGCGUGUAGCAGUGAAAUGCGUAGAUAUGCGGAGGAACACCGAUGGCGAAGGCA
rnacentral:rRNA from 1 species